rnacentral:rRNA from 1 species
GGAGCCUGCGGCUUAAUUUGACUCAACACGGGGAAACUCACCCGGCCCGGACACCGUGAGGAUUGACAGAUUGGGAGCUCUUUCUUGAUUCGGUGGGUGGUGGUGCAUGGCCGUUCUUAGUUGGUGGAGCGAUCUGUCUGGUUAAUUCCGAUAACGAACGAGACCCCGGCCUGCUAAAUAGUCCGCCCCCCCGCCAAUGGGAGGGGCGAACCCCAAGACUUCUUAGAGGGAGACUCGGCGUCGAACAGCCGACUGAACGGGGGCGAUAACAGGUCUGUGAUGCCCUUAGAUGUCCGGGGCCGCACGCGCGCUACACUGAAAGAGUCAGAGGGUCGAGUCCUGGCCUGACGUGGCCGGGCAAUCCGAUAACCUCUAUCGUGCUAGGGACUGGGGCUUGCAAUUGUCCCCACCAACGAGGAAUUCCCAGUAAGCGCGAGUCAUCAGCUCGUGUUGAUCACGUCCCUGCCCUUUGUACACACCGCCCGUCGCUACUACCGAUUGGAUGGUUUAGUGAGGCCCUCGGACGGGCCCCGGGCCGGCUCCCCUCGGGGGUCGGCUGUCUUGGUGCUGCCCGAAAGGGGG